rnacentral:tRNA from 1 species
GAAGGAAAAAAAUAAUGUUUAUUUUUCUUCCGAAGGAAAAGGAAAAAAAUGAUAUUUUAUUUCUUCA